GAACUUCUUUUUGUUCAGUGCUCAGCCAUUUUAGACACAGAGUCUGCUGAGCUGGUGUAUACACCUUAAAUAAAUCAUCCUGACUCCCAGUUGGUCUUCCUGUCUCUUGGAAUUCUGCAACAAUGUGGUGUCAGGAUUAAACGAGAUUCAAGAUCUACAGUCUACAGCCUGUCCCCAGCACGGAGCUAGUGUAAUGAUGCUUAUUACAGGUCCCAUCUGUGUACACGCCUCGCGCAGCAGCUCGGUACCAGCGCUCCAUCCCCGCCGCCCGCAGCGCCGCGACGCCUUCUUCUCACCCAUCUCGGGGACCCCAGUCAUAACUGACAUUUAAAGGAAAUAAACAUGGACUUUAAAAAUCACUACACCCGGUCGCAGUGAAAAACAGAACUGGCUGGCGGCUGUCGGGUCUCGGCUGGCCAGCUCUUCCAGCCUCACAGUUUCCCACACCCGAACCCCACAAAUCACCAUUUCCAGGCACCACGCGAGGCUGCCAAUUCCACUUUCGCUUAAUCUCCUUUCAAAUCCGGCUACAGAGGCGGCUCUGGGCCGCGGCGAUGCGCGGGG